GUCCCAGUAGCGGAAUGGAUAAUGCUUUGGACUUUUAAUCUAAUGGUUGUGGAUUCGAAACCUACCUGGGAUG